GACACUUGACAUUGCAGCAUACCGUGGGUGGGAAAUAGUCCUUUGGCCAUAAAUGAAAGUACAUGUAAGGAUGUGGAGGCGUAAUUCCACAUUUGGCCUUCGGAACCUCGACAAUGUCUAUAAAUUAAAUCCACCCACAGUAGUCCAUGCCGUAUGCUCUAUUAGCAUCUUUCUAAAACCCACAAAAUGAAAAUGUCUUCCAAGGUCAACACCCUCUGCCUCGUCAUCGUCGCCCUCCUACUCUUCUUCACUCUCACCUCCGCCGCCAGACCUCAUCCACCAUUUCCCUAUGCUUCUCAGACGAAAAAUCUUCACGGGGAAGUUGAAGUGGAAGCUGAGAAGGUUGAGGAGAACUGCGAGGGAGUUGGAGAAGAAGAAUGUUUGAUGAGAAGAACACUUGCAGCUCAUACUGAUUAUAUCUACACUCAGAAGACGACGCCAUGAAAUUAAUCUUCUACCUUCUUAUCAUUAAUUAGUUUCUGCUGCAUGUGUUUUUUAUAUUUAUUUGUUGAUUAAAUAAUCUGGGCAGUUUUGUUGUUUAUAGUUCUCCUUAAUUACUUGUGUAAGAGAAUUAAUUUUGUUUUCUUUGUAAUAUUAUUUAUAGAUUAAAGCAAGUAGGGUUAGAGUUUAUUCCCA